rnacentral:rRNA from 1 species
CGUGGGAACAUACACAGCACAGGGGGAUAACCAUUGGAAACGAUGGCUAAUACCGCAUACGCCCUAUUGGGGAAAGAUUUAUCGGUGUUGGAUUGGCCCGCGUUAGAUUAGCUACUUGGUGGGGUAAUGGCUCACCAAGGCGACGAUUUAUAGCUGGUUUGAGAGGAUGAUCAGCAACACUGGAACUGAGACACGGUCCAGACUCCUACGGGAGGCAGCAGUCGGGAAUAUUGUGCAAUGGGGGCAACCCUGACACAGCCAUGCCGCGUGAGUGAAGAAGGCCUUAGGGUUGUAAAGCUCUUUCAGAUGUGAGGAUGAUGACGAUAGCAUCAGAAGAAGCUCCGGCUAACUUCGUGCCAGCAGCCGCGGUAAUACGAAGGGAGCUACCGUUGUUCGGAAUUACUGCGCGUAAAGGGCGU